rnacentral:rRNA from 1 species
UACGGAGGGUGCUAGCGUUGUUCGGAAUUAUUGGGCGUAAAGGGCGCGUAGGCGGUUAUGUAAGUCAGAUGUGAAAUACUUCGGCUUAACCGAAGAACUGCAUUUGAUACUACUUAGCUAGAGUACAGAAGAGGGAAAUGGAAUUCCCGGUGUAGAGGUGAAAUUCGUAGAUAUCGGGAGGAACACCAGUGGCGAAGGCGAUUUCCUGGUCUGAUACUGACGCUGAGGCGCGAAAGCGUGGGGAGCAAACAGGAUUAGAUACCCUGGUAGUCCACGCUGUAAACGGUGAACACUAGGUGUGGGAGGUGUAAUACCUUCUGUGCCGAAGCAAACGCGAUAAGUGUUCCGCCUGGGAAGUACGGCCGCAAGGUUGAAACUCAAAG